rnacentral:rRNA from 1 species
AACGAACGCUGGCGGCGCGUCUUAAACAUGCAAGUCGAACGGCAGGAAGGGGCUUGCCCCUUCUGAGAGUGGCGGACUGGUGAGUAACACGUGGGUGACAUACCUUUUAGUUGGGGAUAGCUAUUAGAAAUAGUAGGUAAUACCGAAUGUGACCGUACCUGUUAGAGGGGUACGAGGAAAGGAGCUAAGGCUUCGCUAAAAGAAUGGCUCGCGGCCCAUUAUGCUCGUUGGUGAGGUAACGGCCCACCAAGGCGAUGAUGGGUAUCCGGCCUGAGAGGGUGAACGGACACAUUGGGACUGAGAUACGGCCCAGACUUCACGGGAGGCAGCAGUUAAGAAUAUUCCGCAAUGGACGAAAGUCUGACGGAGCGACGCCGCGUGGAUGAAGAAUGCCGAAAGGUUGUAAAAUCCUUUUAAGCCUGAUGAAUAAGCACAGUAGGGAAUGAUUGUGCGGUGACCGUAGGGCUUGAAUAAGCACCGGCUAAUUACGUG